CACGGCUUUUUUUUUUUUUUCCUGGCUAGGAAGUAUUUACAUUUGAAAGAGAGAAUUCAGUCUGAUAGCCCAACUACUAGUCAUCUAAGAGGUUGCCAGAAACCAGUGUCCUAGCAAAUAUGUUGACUGGACAAGCCCAGGACUUACUUGAGAGGACAGAGCUGGAAUUCUGAGGACAACCAAUGACGACAUUGUUCUCUAUGUGCCCACAGGAAGGGCCCAAGUGCUAGCCUGGUGAUGGGCCUGGCCGAGGAGGACGUGCGAUCUGGGGUCAUUAAGAGCUCCUCAUUGAUCCUGGAAAUGCAGUGUGUUUUUAAGUGGAUUGGUUUUACCAGUGAGCAUUAGAAGUGUUUGAGGAUGCUGCACAUGCCUGAUGAACGACCGUGCCCACGCCGUGAAGGAGCAGGGCAGAAACUUCCGCUCAACAGGAUCUGGUGCUCAGACGCAGGCAGGACGGCCGUGCGUACCUGAAGCAGCCUCUUGGUGGGAAUCCCACCGGCACCUUAGUGUGGGUGUCACUCACUUGGUGUGUGUGUCACUCACUUUGAGGCCUCUAGGAUUCUCCAGAAAGAAACCUCUGAGGAUGGGAGACUGGUUGGAGCAGCCGCCAAGUGCCAAGGAGAGCUGCCAGGUGCAGAGGGAAAAGGAAGUUGUCAGUCAAGGUCCCAGCAGAAAUUCACCCUAAAUGGUUAAAAUAAAGAGA
rnacentral:lncRNA from 1 species